rnacentral:rRNA from 1 species
UACGGAGGGUGCAAGCAUUAAUCGGAUUUAUUGGGCGUAAAGGGCGCGUAGGCGGGGAUAAAAGUCAGAUGUGAAAUCCCGGGGCUCAACCUCGGAACAGCAUUUGAAACUCUAUCUCUUGAGGGUAGGCGGAGAAAAUGGAAUUCCACAAGUAGCGGUGAAAUGCGUAGAUAUGUGGAAGAACACCGGUGGCGAAGGCGAUUUUCUAGCUUAUACCUGACGCUAAGGCGCGAAAGCAAGGGGAGCAAACAGG